rnacentral:lncRNA from 1 species
AGAAGUUGCUAUUCUGUAGCAGAUGUCACUAUUGAUAUUAGAAAGAAUGGAAAACAGAGCUGCUGCUAAAGUAAGCAAGCUGACAGCUGAGGCAGAAGUGUAUCAACAGCAGUAUGUUCACAGGAUCACCACAUUGACGAUUCAGCCCAGUUAUCUGGCAGUGCAUAAACUCAAUGCUGUUGGUACAAUCACAGAAGAUCAACCAGAGAUAUUUAUCAAAUGCUUAUUAUAUGACAAGACCUACACUGGAUCCUUGGGAUAAUUGUGACAGUCCCAAUCUUUACAAAGACAGGCAAAAAGUUCGUAGACCAUCAUUUGUCUAUGGACCACACUUUGAACACAACUGCUCUGGACAAGCAGGCCUUGGAUUUCUACGUGUUUGUGUCUUUGAUCUGUUAAACUCAGCUGACCCACCACACCCAAGCAGAAC